UGUAACCGACUGAACCCCAUUUGGUCGACAUAACGGCCGAACCCGGCGAUAUCAAUAAAUGAUUUGCGUUGACAUAAGCCGAAUGAAAGAGGAAAGAGAAUUAGGGACUAUUGUUCGAUGAAUGUGAUGAAUAUCAUAUUGGUUCCACGAGGAUAAGUUUAUAAACCAUUUCGUUAAAGUUAUAAUUUCUCUUUAUUAUACAAUAUUAUUCUGACUCGCGGUGGUCGCUGAUAAUCGUACAUUCGUAGGGUACUUGAAUCGAUAGUUGACACCUACAAUCAGAUCGAGCCUAUUGAUGAGUUAUUGUUGGGAAAUAAGGAAUUAAUUUGGAGUGAGGAUAGACCAAUGUAAGCGCAAUCAAUGUAAGUUCCAAUGACUUGUACUAAAAUGAUAAAUAUAGCUUUUAGCGUUUCAUCGUUUGUGAGAUCUACACAGCGUGCUCAAAAGAUAUUCGUAUACUCCUUCC